UGAGUAAAACAUACGGCGGCGAGGCGUAAGCCUUGAGGAAAGUCCGGGCUCCAUAAGGGAAUGGUAACUGCUAACGGCAGCCGGGGGUGACCCUAGGGAUAGUGCAACAGAGAUAAGACUGCCUGUUUUUUACAGGUAACGGUGGAAAGGUGCGGUAAGAGCGCACCAGCGCACUUGGAGACUUGUGCGGCUGUGUAAACCCUACCAGGAGCAACGCCCAUAUGAAAACUAUGCGUCCCCUGCGCGUUUUCGGAGGCGGCUUGAGCUGUGUGGCAACAUACAGCCUAGAUAGAUCGUCGUUUAAUACAGAACCCGGCUUACGGUUUAGUCGUUUU
rnacentral:RNase_P_RNA from 1 species